UGUCGGUAAAACUCGUGCCAGCCACCGCGGUUAUACGAGAGGCCCAAGCUGAUAGACUGCGGCGUAAAGAGUGGUUAGGAUCAAACACACACUAAAGUCGAAUGCAUUCAAAGCUGUUAUACGCUAAUGAAGCUAGCCGAAGCCCAACUACGAAAGUGACUUUAAACCUACUGACUCCACGAAAGCUAGGAAACAAACUGGGAUUAGAUACCCCACUAUGA
rnacentral:rRNA from 1 species